AGAGUUUGGAAUCUGGCUCAGAUUGAACGCUGGCGGCAUGCCUUACACAUGCAAGUCGAACGGCAGCGCGGGGCAACCUGGCGGCGAGUGGCGAACGGGUGAGUAAUAUAUCGGAACGUACCCUGGAGUGGGGGAUAACGUAGCGAAAGUUACGCUAAUACCGCAUACGAUCUAAGGAUGAAAGUGGGGGAUCGCAAGACCUCAUGCUCCUGGAGCGGCCGAUAUCUGAUUAGCUAGUUGGUGGGGUAAAGGCCUACCAAGGCAUCGAUCAGUAGCUGGUCUGAGAGGACGACCAGCCACACUGGAACUGAGACACGGUCCAGACUCCUACGGGAGGCAGCAGUGGGGAAUUUUGGACAAUGGGCGAAAGCCUGAUCCAGCAAUGCCGCGUGAGUGAAGAAGGCCUUCGGGUUGUAAAGCUCUUUUGUCAGGGAAGAAACGGUGAGUUCUAAUACAGCUUGCUAAUGACGGUACCUGAAGAAUAAGCACCGGCUAACUACGUGCCAGCAGCCGCGGUAAUACGUAGGGUGCAAGCGUUAAUCGGAAUUACUGGGCGUAAAGCGUGCGCAGGCGGUUUUGUAAGUCUGUCGUGAAAUCCCCGGGCUCAACCUGGGAAUGGCGAUGGAGACUGCAAGGCUAGAGUUUGGCAGAGGGGGGUAGAAUUCCACGUGUAGCAGUGAAAUGCGUAGAUAUGUGGAGGAACACCUGAUGGCGAAGGCAGCCCCCUGGGUCAAGACUGACGCUCAUGCACGAAAGCGUGGGGAGCAAACAGGAUUAGAUACCCUGGUAGUCCACGCCCUAAACGAUGUCUACUAGUUGUCGGGUCUUAAUUGACUUGGUAACGCAGCUAACGCGUGAAGUAGACCGCCUGGGGAA
rnacentral:rRNA from 1 species